UGGUGAUGAUGGCGGAAGGGAUCCACGCGUUCCCAUCUCGAACACGACCGUUAAGCCUUCCAGCGUCGAUGGUACUUGAA
rnacentral:rRNA from 1 species